UUACACUGGUUCCUGUAGGAUCACCAAAGUUAAGCUACUUUGAGCCUGGUCAGUACCUAGAUGGGUGACCGCUUGGGAAUACCAGAUGCUGUAAG